UCAACAGCUUUGACGGGAAGAAGUAAGCAAAAAAGGAUGCCAAGAGAGCUUUCGGUCGGUGUGAGAAAGCGUGAGAGUUUUGCCCAAAUACAUCCCCGAGCUGCGCAGUUGAAAUUUUCAGUAGGCUGCGCCGUGUGCGUGCGUUAAGCGUCAGAGUAUGUAUGUACUCGCUGAGGCCGUUCCCGUGAGGGCUCGGUGAACAGAGGUGGUAACACGAUAUUUUCGUCCUCUGC
rnacentral:ncRNA from 1 species